UAAAAUAAUUAAGGGCACACAAAGGAUGCCUAGGUAGUAAGAGCCGAUGAAGGACGUGGUAAGCUGCGAUAAGCCUAGAUAAGUUGCAAUCGAACGUAAGAGUCUAGGAUUUCCGAAUGGAGCAAUCUAUUAAGAUGGAGUCUUAAUACGAAAGAGGGAACCGCGUGAACUGAAACAUCUAAGUAACGCGAGGAAAAGAAAGUAAAAACGAUACCCAAAGUAGCGGCGAGCGAAAUGGGUCAAGCCUAAACCUUAAAUAUGUCAAGGAUACAGCCGUUGUAUUUAAGGGGUUGAGGGACAGAGUAGUGAAGAACUGUAAGAUAUUCAAUAUAGUGUAUUGAUGAAUUGGAAUUGUCUGGAAAGGCGAACCGUAGAAGGUGAAAGUCCUGUACAAGUAAAUCCUUACACAUAUAACUCUGCUCCCAAGUAACAUGGAACACGAGGAAUUCUGUGUGAAUCUGUGAGGACCAUAUCUCAUAAGGCUAAAUACUCUUACUAACCGAUAGCGCAUAGUACCGUGAGGGAAAGGUGAAAAGAACCCCUGGAGGGGAGUGAAAUAGAACCUGAAAUUGUGUGCUUACAAGCGGUCAGAGCCAGUAAUGGUGAUGGCGUGCCUUUUGGAGAAUGAUCCUGCGAGUUACGUUAAACGGCGAGGUUAAGUAUAACGGAGCCGAAGGGAAACCAAGUCUUAAUAGGGCGAUUUAGUCGUUUGGCGUAGACGCGAAACCUGGUGAUCUAAACCUGUCCAGGAUGAAGCUGUGGUAAGACACAGUGGAGGUCCUAACCCACCGCCGUUGAAAAGUUGGGGGAUGAGGUAGGUUUAGGGGUGAAAAGCCAAUCGAACCAGGAGAUAGCUCGUUCUCUCCGAAAUGCAUCUAGGUGCAGCCUUGAGUGUUCAAUUAUGGGGGUAGAGCACUGAAUGAUCUAGGGGGCGUAUUGCUUACUGAAAUCAAUCAAACUCCGAAUACCAUAAUUUAGAGCUCAGGAGUGAGACUAUGGGAGUUAACUUCCAUUGUCGAAAGGGAAACAACCCAGACCACCAGCUAAGGUCCCUAAUUAUAACUAAGUGGGAAAGGAGGUGGAGAUUCACAAACAACUAGGAGGUUGGCUUAGAAGCAGCCAUACCUUUAAAGAGUGCGUAAUAGCUCACUAGUCGAGAGUCUCUGCGCCGACAAUGUAACGGGGCUAAGUUAUAAACCGAAGCUGUGGAAUCCGUAAGGAUUGGUAGGAGAGCGUUCUGUAGGCCGUUGAAGGAGAAGGGUAACCGACUCUGGAGGUAUCAGAAGUGAGAAUGCAGGAAUAAGUAGCGAGAAAGGGGGCGAGAAUCCCCCUCGCCGGAAGACCAAGGUUUUCAGGGUAAAGCUUGUCUUCCCUGAGUAAGCCGGGACCUAAGCCCAGGCUAUAAUGCGUAGGCGAAUGGAAAACAGAUUAAUAUUUCUGUGCCAGUCAUAUAUUGUGAUGGAGGGACGCAGAAGGGUAUGCGCGCGGACGAACGGAAGUGUCCGUAGAAGUAUGUAGGAUGACUUGAUAGGAAAAUCCAUUGAGUUAUAUCUGAGGUAUGAUAUACAGUCGUAAGAUGAAUGCGCAAAUCCCACGCUGCCAAGAAAAGCUUCUAACGUUAAUAUUUGACUGCCCGUACUGCAAACCGACACAGGUGGUCAGGAUGAGAAAUCUAAGGCGGACAGGCUAACUCUCGUUAAGGAACUCUGCAAAAUAACCUCGUAACUUCGGGAGAAGAGGAGCCCUUGAGGGUCAGUAUCCACGCGAUACAAAGCGCUCGAGGGUCGCAGUGAAGAGGCUCAAGCAACUGUUUAACAAAAACACAGGUCUAUGCUAAGCUGGAAGGCGAUGUAUAUGGGCUGACACCUGCCCAGUGCUGGAAGGUUAAGAGGAGGAGUGAGAGCUCCGAAUUGAAGCCCCAGUGAACGGCGGCCGUAACUAUAACGGUCCUAAGGUAGCGAAAUUCCUUGUCGGGUAA
rnacentral:rRNA from 1 species